rnacentral:rRNA from 1 species
UACGGAGGGUGCAAACGUUGCUCGGAAUCAUUGGGCGUAAAGCGCACGUAGGCGGACCGCUAAGUCGGAUGUGAAAGCCCUCGGCUUAACCGAGGAAGUGCAUUCGAAACUGACAGUCUUGAGUAUGGAAGAGGGUCGCGGAAUUCCCGGUGUAGAGGUGAAAUUCGUAGAUAUCGGGAGGAACACCAGUGGCGAAGGCGGCGACCUGGGCCAAUACUGACGCUGAGGAGCGAAAGCCAGGGGAGCAAACGGG